rnacentral:rRNA from 1 species
UACGUAGGGUGCAAGCGUUGUCCGGAAUUAUUGGGCGUAAAGAGCUUGUAGGCGGUUUGUCGCGUCUGCUGUGAAAUUUCGGGGCUCAACCCCGAACUUGCAGUGGGUACGGGCAGACUAGAGUGUGGUAGGGGAGACUGGAAUUUCUGGUGUAGCGGUGAAAUGCGCAGAUAUCAGGAGGAACACCGAUGGCGAAGGCAGGUCUCUGGGCCACUACUGACGCUGAGAAGCGAAAGCAUGGGGAGCGAACAGG